UGCGUAGGCGGAAGAUUAAGUCAGUGGUGAAAUCCCGCAGCUCAACUGUGGAACUGUCAUUGAUACUGGUUUUCUUGAAUUUAGUUGAGGUAGGCGGAAUGUGUAAUGUAGCGGUGAAAUGCUUAGAUAUUACACAGAACACCGAUUGCGAAGGCAGCUUACUAAACUAUGAUUGACGCUGAGGUACGAAAGCGUGGGGAGCGAACAGGAUUAGAUACCCUGGUAGUCC
rnacentral:rRNA from 1 species